UGGGGAAUUUUGGACAAUGGGGGAAACCCUGAUCCAGCCAUCCCGCGUGUGCGAUGAAGGCCUUCGGGUUGUAAAGCACUUUUGGCAGGAAAGAAACGUCAUGGGUUAAUACCCCGUGAAACUGACGGUACCUGCAGAAUAAGCACCGGCUAACUACGUGCCAGCAGCCGCGGUAAUACGUAGGGUGCAAGCGUUAAUCGGAAUUACUGGGCGUAAAGCGUGCGCAGGCGGUUCGGAAAGAAAGAUGUGAAAUCCCAGAGCUAAACUUUGGAACUGCAUUUUUAACUACCGGGCUAGAGUGUGUCAGAGGGAGGUGGAAUUCCGCGUGUAGCAGUGAAAUGCGUAGAUAUGCGGAGGAACACCGAUGGCGAAGGCAGCCUCCUGGGAUAACACUGACGCUCAUGCACGAAAGCGUGGGGAGCAAACAGG
rnacentral:rRNA from 1 species